GUGCCAGCAGCCGCGGUAAUACGAAGGGGGCUAGCGUUGUUCGGAAUUACUGGGCGUAAAGGGCGCGUAGGCGGCGUGUCAAGUCAGGCGUGAAAGCCCCGGGCUCAACCUGGGAACCGCGCUUGAGACUGGCAUGCUCGAGUUCGGGAGAGGAUGGUGGAAUUCCCAGUGUAGAGGUGAAAUUCGUAGAUAUUGGGAAGAACACCGAUGGCGAAGGCAGCCAUCUGGACCGACACUGACGCUGAGGCGCGAAAGCGUGGGGAGCAAACAGGAUUAGAUACCCUGGUAGUCC
rnacentral:rRNA from 1 species